rnacentral:tRNA from 2 species
GCUCGGGUGGUGGAAUUGGCAGACACGUAGCGUUCAGGGCGCUAUGACCGUAAGGUCGUGGGAGUUCAAGUCUCCCCCCGAGCA